GAAGGUAUAGCUCAGUGGUAGAGUGCAUGCUUAGUAUGCAUGAGGUCCUGGGUUCAAACCCUGUUACCCGUG
rnacentral:tRNA from 1 species